rnacentral:lncRNA from 1 species
CGAAGCCAGAGUUUCGCCUAAAUAAUCCGUGGGGAUAAGGAAGCACCGUCCUUAAGGGGGAUCCAUGGUGAAAAUUAGUUUUGGAUUCCUUGGGGAUAAGAACUACAUCUGGGUAGCUGCGUUGGGUCUAUUCUUGUCUUGUUUUUUUUCCCAGGUUGCUUUUCUUCGACUUCUUCUGAAACCUUUCUUCUCAAUUCCGUAAUAAAAAAUACAGCUGACGCUCGAAAAAGCCCAGGUUUGAAUGGUGUGGACCUACUAAGUGUGGACAGAGGUCCCAGUUCAUCAUCAGGGGACACCAAGGCAAGAACUCACGGCAGGAACCUGGAGGCAGAGACUGAAGUAGAAGCCAUGGAGGAACACUGCUUACUGACUUGCUGUCCACGGCUCAUCUAUGUUAUAUAGGCCAGGCUCACCUGCCUGGGAAUGGCACCGCUCAUAGUGGGCUGGACCCUCCUAUGCUAAUUAGCAAUCAAGAAAAUCGCCCCGGAUGUGCUUACAGUCCAUUCUAAGGGAACCAUUUCCUCAAAUGAAGUCCCCUCUUCCCAGGUGCCCAUAAAUGCAGUGCCUGCCAAGGACAGAAGAGGACGCCAUUUC